CCUUCAGGAUGGGGACAACAGACGGAAACGACUGCUAAUACCGAAUAAGUUCCAAGAGCCGCAUGGCCCAUGGAAGAAAAGGUGGCCUCUACCUGUAAGCUAUCGCCUGAAGAGGGGUUUGCGUCUGAUUAGCUGGUUGGAGGGGUAACGGCCCACCAAGGCGACGAUCAGUAGCCGGUCUGAGAGGAUGAACGGCCACACUGGAACUGAGACACGGUCCAGACUCCUACGGGAGGCAGCAGUGGGGAAUCUUCCGCAAUGGGCGAAAGCCUGACGGAGCAACGCCGCGUGAGUGAUGACGGCCUUCGGGUUGUAAAACUCUGUGAUCCGGGACGAAAAGGCAGAGUGCGAAGAACAAACUGCAUUGACGGUACCGGAAAAGCAAGCCACGGCUAACUACGUGCCAGCAGCCGCGGUAAUACGUAGGUGGCAAGCGUUGUCCGGAAUUAUUGGGCGUAAAGCGCGCGCAGGCGGCUUCCCAAGUCCCUCUUAAAAGUGCGGGGCUUAACCCCGUGAUGGGAAGGAAACUGGGAAGCCGGAGUAUCGGAGAGGAAAGUGGAAUUCCUAGUGUAGCGGUGAAAUGCGUAGAGAUUAGGAAGAACACCGGUGGCGAAGGCGACUUUCUGGACGAAAACUGACGCUGAGGCGCGAAAGCGUGGGGAGCAAACAGGAUUAGAUACCCUGGUAGUCCACGCCGUAAACGAUGGAUACUAGGUGUAGGAGGUAUCGACCCCUCCUGUGCCGGAG
rnacentral:rRNA from 1 species